GUUUGACUGGGGCGGUCUCCUCCCAAAGAGUAACGGAGGAGUUCGAAGGUUACCUAGGUCCGGUCGGAAAUCGGACUGAUAGUACAAUGGCACAAGGUAGCUUAACUGCGAGACCGACAAGUCGAGCAGGUGCGAAAGCAGGACAUAGUGAUCCGGUGGUUCUGAAUGGAAGGGCCAUCGCUCAACGGAUAAAAGGUACUCCGGGGAUAACAGGCUGAUUCCGCCCAAGAGUUCAUAUCGACGGCGGAGUUUGGCACCUCGAUGUCGGCUCAUCACAUCCUGGGGCUGUAGUCGGUCCCAAGGGUAUGGCUGUUCGCCAUUUAAAGUGGUACGUGAGCUGGGUUUAAAACGUCGUGAGACAGUUUGGUCCCUAUCUGCAGUGGGCGUUGGAAGUUUGACGGGGGCUGCUCCUAGUACGAGAGGACCGGAGUGGACGAACCUCUGGUGUACCGGUUGUGACGCCAGUCGCAUCGCCGGGUAGCUAAGUUCGGAAGAGAUAAACGCUGAAAGCAUCUAAGCGUGAAACUCGCCUGAAGAUGAGACUUCCCUAGGGAUUUAAUCCCUCUAAAGAGACGUUCGAGACCAGGACGUUGAUAGGUCGGGUGUGGAAGAGUGGUAACACUUGCAGCUAACCGAUACUAAUUGCUCGUGAGGCUUGACUCUAU
rnacentral:rRNA from 1 species